AUAUUUCUUCAUCUUCCACCGAAUACAGAGAAAAGAAACAGCCAUGGUUGUGUUUUAGGGUUCGGCAUCUUCAUGGCUCAAUUUAUUGAGAUAAUCGAGAAUUGGAUCUAGAACGGGGGAAAAAUAAAGUACCGGACUAAUUGAUCCGUUCCGUCAUUUUAACGAUCGAGGUUUAUGUAGCUAGCUCGGGUUGGAGAUCGUCGGAGAUUCAAUCACACUAUCAAGCUAUCAUUUGGGGUAUAAGUAUUCAAAUACUUAAGUCUAUGGCAUGUCUAUGCUGAUCAUAGGAUUAUUCAUGUGUAUUUGCCAAUGUUUUAUGGUGUGAUCAUGUUGUUUGAUAUGGAUGACUGUGCGCAUACGACUUAAGUACUCGAUGAUUGAUUUUGGCAUAAUUGGCAUAUGGAUAGAUUAUAGCAUAAGUGUGAAAUGUGAAAAUGUAUUAAUGAUAA